UGUUCGCUGCCCAAUAGUUUCUUUGAUGCCUGCGGGGUGUCAUUUCUUAAGAAAAAAAUAUAUUGAUUCGCGUUCGUACGACAAGGGCUUAAUAAUGAUGAGUAACUGCUCUAUUUGUAUAUUUUUACAUGAUUCUGCGACACAAAAUCCUUAUGUGAACAAAAUAUUUAGAGUUUAUUUGUAAAAUGUCGUAGUCGGAAUACGGUGUUGUGUUUGUUUUCGGUGUUUCGGUGGUAACGAUGGCCAAUUCUCCUACGAGUAUAGAGACGCAAAUAGACAGCUUCUUAGAACAGUUCAAGAGAAGUGCUUCGAAAGCGAUGGAAGAACGUAUGGAGUGGCCCGACGGUCCAUGUCCAGGAGCAAUCGUUAAAUCACGAAGCAGCUGUUUUACUCUAGAUUCUUCUUCUGGUGAAGCGGAGUGCGAUGGGUGCGGCAGCGACAGCGAGGACGGUCGCGGCGUGGGCGAGCUGCUGCUGCCGCAGUACGCGCUGGCGACGGGCGGGCUGGCGCGAGACCAUCGCCCACUCAUCACAUUUCCUGACAACAACAACUUCCACGUGCUAUCCGUCGCCGAGUAUCGCCGCCUCCUUCUCUACCUCACUUCUGUGCCCUCUAUAUUAGAAGCUGAAAUGGGAUUUCAUAUUAUAAUAGAUCGAAGAAAAGAUCGAUGGAAUUCUGUUAAGGCAGUCCUUCUUCGAAUAUCGGAGUUUUUUCCGGGUAUCAUUCACGCUGUUUAUGUUCUACGACCAGCAAGUUUCCUCCAAAAAGCUUUAUCAGAAGUUAGCAAUAAACUGUUCAAAGAGGAGUUUCGCUUCCGAGUUCUGGUUUGUUCCUGUGUGGAGGAGUUGUACGAACACUUCGAUAGAUCUCAACUUACGCCGGAUCUUGGCGGCGAACUGCAGUAUUCGCAUUCAGAAUGGAUUCAACAGCGAAUCGCGUUGGAGAAGUUUUCAACAUUGAUGAAGGAGAUAUCAAGUAAACUGGACGACUUCAUGCACGAAAUAGUGGACUGCGACAUGGGGAAUGAUCCAACACAAACCAAAGAAUUAUUAGACUGUCAAGAAUCUAGAUAUAAAGCUUUAAAAACUGAAUUAUCGUCAGCAACAACUCAAGGCGAGGAGCUACUGACACAAGUGCGAAAACCAAAUCUAACUUAUAACAUUAUAAGCCAUGUAGCUGCUGUUGAAAGAUUACUGGUGCAACUUGAAGAGACUGAAAAACAAUUCGACAGUUUCUGGCAGAAACAUUCCAUGAAAUUAAAUCAUUGGUUAAUGUUUAGAACAUUUUUAUUAAACUUUAAACAAAUGCAGGCCACUUUAGACUCCCACCUAAAGAAUGCGUGCGAUAUGACUGAGGUGGGCGAAACAGCAGUCAGGGUCGACGGCCUUAUACAAGAAGCGAAUGAGUUUGAAAAACUAUGCAACUGCGAUCUGGAUGCUGCUUCAUCAGUGAUCGAAGAAGGUGAAAAAUUAAUGAAAGAUCCAUUAAGCUCCGUGGACCACAUAGAAUCCAAAUGCGAAGAAUUGAGGCGAACGAGUUCAUUAUUGAUAGAGAAAAUACAAAAACGAAGUCUGUUAUUAAUAAAAGCAAGAGAAUUAAUGGACAGGAUAGAUAAGGCAAACGAAUGGUGCGCAACGGGCGUUGAGAUCCUGGCGGGCGAGGGCGGCCUCAUCGCCGUCGACAAGCUGCUGGACGACGCUAAGAGCUUCGGCCUCGACGCGCCCGAGCCCUUCCGCGACAUGCUGCUGCAAUCCGCCACGCAGGAGACGCGCGCGCUCGUCACGCAAGUGUGCCAGCGCGUGGAGGACGUGUGGCUGAUGGUGUCGGUGAAGCGCGCGUCGCUGCAGCGCGCGGCGGCGCGGCCCGCGCGGCCCGUGCACGCCGUGCCGCCGCACGUCGCCGCCACGCAGAUGGAAACAUCAGGAGGUUCAGAAAGUUCAGGGGGCGAGGACGCAGAGGCGCGGCGUUCACGGCGCGGUCACGUGCUCGCUGAGCUGCUGCAAACUGAAAGGGCUUAUGUGCAAGAACUUGGAUCUAUACUUUCUGGUUAUAAAGAAGAAAUCGAAAAACCAGAAAAUCAACACGUUUUACCAGCUGCCUUAGUCGGACAAACGGAAGUAUUAUUUGGAAAUUUACACGAGCUAUUUACAUUCCAUCAAGAAAUUUUCUUAAAAGACUUGGAGAGAUCAAUUUCAGCAACCGAACUCGUCGCCUUAUGUUUUGUUGAAAAGAGAGAGACUUUUUUCCGCCUAUACAGCUACUACUGCCAAAACAUCCCGCGGUCGGAAAGGCUACGAGAAACGUUAGUGGACACUCACCUAUUUCUCCAGGCUUGCCAGCAGCGCCUUGGACACAAAUUACCUUUAGCCGCGUACCUCCUUAAACCAGUGCAGAGAAUCACAAAAUAUCAACUGUUACUUAAGGAUUUACUACGGUAUAGUGAGUGCGGUUCAAUGAGCUCCGGCUUACAACAAGCGCUUGACUGCAUGCUCGUCGUUCUCAAGUGUGUUAACGACUCAAUGCAUCAGAUAGCCAUUACUGGAGUUCCUGUGGACUUGAGUCAACAAGGCGAGCUAUUAUUGCAGAGUUCAUUUCUUGUUGUGUCGGAGAACAAACGUGAUCUCCGACUGAGGAUACGGCCGAGACGUCGACAUAUUUUUCUUUACGAAAAAGCUAUGCUUUUUUGCAAAUCCGCUACAAAGAACAGUCAUAACAAAGCAACUUAUCACUUUAAACAUGAUCUCCAAAUGUCACAAAUCGGACUGACGGAGUCGGUAAAGGGCGAUCUGCGCAAGUUCGAGGUUUGGCGCCAGGGCCGCGCAGAAGUACACACCAUCACCGCGCCCACCGCUGAGAUCAAGCGCGUGUGGGUGGAGCGCAUCAAGCGCGUGCUGCUCGACCAGCUGAACGAGCUCAAGGGCGAGCGAGUGCGACAGUACGGCGCGCAACACAGGACACUGAUCCAAGCGAGCUCGUGGGAGCUGGGCGCGGGCGCGGCGGCGCGGCCCGGCGCGGCGCCGGCGCGCGCGGCCUCGUGCGACGCGCACGACGAGCCGUGCUGGUCCACCGACCCCUCGGACGACGACGACGACGAGCCCGAACACGCACCGUUGUGAGUGAAGUGAAAUCCACUCAAAAUGUAAGUUUAAUUGAAUUUAUAAAGGAAUGCGGGCAAAAUAGUCACCGGGUAGAGCAUGAAAAGCUAGCAACCCGAACGCACUUAACGCUUCCCGGAAUAAUGUCCGCCGCUCUUAAGUUUAUGAUUCGACAAAAACUAACUUUCAAACGUUAUAUUAGAGAAUUCGUAGUAUAAGUUGUAACGUAGAUCUAGACUUUUAGUUUUACUGACUUAGUGUUUGACUACGAAUUCCCUACUCAAAAAUACUUUUGUAAAAACGAUACGAUACAAUCUCUUGAGUUCACGCCGUCACAGCAUAUUUGAUUUUGCAUCUCACUUAUCAUCGCUUAUAAUUUAGAAACAAACAUUUUAAAAAUCUAAGACAUAUUUUAAAAUAAUAAGCGCUGUUUUUUCUGACUUACAGGCAUUAGAUUAGCACAGUUCACCUCUGUAAAAAUGUACUCAAUACUCACAAAGUAUCUUUUCUAAAUGCUUUGUGGCAGUUCGUGACGCCAUGUUGUGGUACGCGUAUGUUGUCAAAAUGGCCGCCAUGCUGUAUGUUGUGUUGUUCAACAGGUGACGGAGGCCGUCGGUCUCAACGGUACCAUACACAGAAUGGUACAAUUCUUUUCAGUAUCGGGCUCGACACAAGCCACCUCCACAUUUUACGUAUCACAGUACUGAUAAAAUUUCUCUACGGCUAAACCGAUAGAGGCUUUGUAAAUACAAUGAAAGAGACUGAUUUCGUAUCCAAAGUUUAAAGUAACCAAAGACAACGACGUAAAGUGGAUAUUUCAGUUGUAUUCGCAGAACAUUAACUAUCGUGCGGUGGGGUGCGCGCUGGUGGCGCUGUCGGACUACACGGCGGUGGGCGCCAGCGAAGUUUCGCUGCGCGAGGGGCAGCAAGCCGACCUGCUGAAGGUGGGCUGCGCCGGCUGGUGGUACGUCCGACUCGCAGGUGGUCAAGGGGAGGGCUGGGCGCCAGCUGCUUAUCUGGACCAGCGCAAGACUUCGCGUUCUUCAAGUCGCUCGCACGACCGUCUGCACGACCACUGAGCCGUCCGGCGCCACACGUGCGAUAUACUUUUACUCAACUCACAUAAAAGUCGUACGACAUUCGGUAUAAAAGCUGUUCCAGUGAACGCUUGCAAAUUGAUAUAGCUGUGGAAAAAAUGUGUUUCGAAAUGUUCUCUAGAACUACCCCAUAGGCGUAGUUGUGUUAAGAUAAUAUCGAUGUUUGAGUGCGCUAGAAAUGAAUGCAUUUAGGAUUUUGAUUGUCGUAUAAUGAAAGUGUUGUUGCAAUGUCCGUAAUUAUUGUUCAGUUACGUUUUUCGAUGUAUUCUUUGAGUACUAUUCAUUGGUUGUGUUAAAAUAUUUGUCAAUCGUAUAAUAUUUAAUACUUUUAAAAAUUAUAAUUACACUUAUUUUAUAUUAUGAUUUAUUUUGUACGAAUAGAAUAUUGAAUAGCGCCCGCCACCCCACUUGUUAAUGUUAAUAUCGAACAAUAAUAAUGUUAGUAUUGUUCUGAAAAGCUUUAUUGUAAAUUAGUUUUAGAUAUAGAUCGUUAUCGUUACGAUAAUCCAAAGCUAUGUAUAGUGGCGUAGGACCUUGUUAAAGCAGCCGUGACUGUAUUUCUUUUGUAAAUAUAUAUUUUUAUUUUAAUUAUAGUUAUUUAUUCCGACGGUAGAUGUGCUUUGUCUCCUAUUAUCCAUGACAAUUUCUGUGUUCGAUAUUUUUCAUGUUUACCCGUCAUUAUAUUUGUGUGUCAAUGUGGCAAGUUACAUACAGUGUGAUUUCCCGGUGCGUUUCCCAUGAUUUAGUUGUCAGUAUUAGUUGAUAUUCAGAGAACCAUACCUUUACAAUUAAUUAUUAUUUGUAUCAAUGUUUGUGAACAAUUUUAUAUAUGUACUGAAUCCUUAGUCAUCAACGCAUGUUUGGUCGAGACGAAUUUUUAUAAACUUAUUGUGAUUAGGGUUGCCAUUUGUGAAACCAUCGGAACUUUAAAAAAUUUAAACACUAAAUUUCGAUUUUUUAUAGCGACAGGCUAAUGUUCAAACACACUCACUGUACGUUACUCACUAAAUAAAAUUGUCGAUGCUUUUUCUCUCAAUUCUUUAUUUGGAUUGCUUUCAAUUAAAACACGAUAAUUGUUAUUGAGAGUGAGCAAAUAGCCGACUAAGGCAGAAUAUAAUAACAUAAUAAGCAGACCAUCAAUAUCAAUAAAAAAAAAUUAAGUAUCUAGAAUGACACACCGAAUGGCGACUCAUCACGAUAGCAGCGUCUAAUGUUAAUUUUUUUCGCUUAUCUUAUUAUCGCAGAGCUUACACUCUGAUAAUAAUAUGCGUGUUUUAAUAAUGACAAAUGUCAUCGUAUAACUUUUUAUAUAACCAAAAUGCUGGUGCCUACUUGCUUUGUGGCCUAUAUGAAGUGUUAAAUAAAUACUAGUCGCGAUUUUGUAUAACCCUCGUAUCUAUAUAUAAUUGUCGUUGUCAUUUGAAUGUUAUAUAAUAACUAUAUCAUCUCAUUGCAUAUCAUCUCGACUUUGUCAUAAACCAUAUUAUUACCUUUUAUUUAAUUCUAUCUCCGAACAUCAUGUACCUGUCCAAAGCCUCUCAUUAUAAAAAAAAAAGUUGUACCUACUGAGGUCGUUAUAAAGCUGGCCACGAAUUACACACAUUUGUCCAUU